UAAAUAAAGACCAGUCAUGGUGAUGAAGUGGUGAAUAUGAUUUGAAUUAAAUUGUAUUCUGAAUGGUCAUGUCUAAAAAUUUCAGCAGCCUAGUAAAAUAAAUUAGUAGUGACUUUGUACUUGGUGACAUCAGUGACCUCUUCCAAUCCUGAUUCUUCAGAGGAGAAGUCACAUCUGUGACGCUGGUGCAUAUUUUAUCAAGAGUUACCAAGCUGCUGCCUUCAAAGAAUGUCUGAAGUUCUAUUCUUUGAAAUUCAUCAUGAACCAGAUGAAACUGAGCUCUUAGACUAAAGCAAGAGCAGAGGAAGUAGGACCCAGUUAACUGAGGACUAUGCGUAAGUAAAAUUAAAGUCUCUCUCUCCUUGCCUUUAAGCCUGCCUUAAAAUAUUUAGAUUGAGAGAUAGAGAGAGAGAGGGAGAGAGAGAGAGAGAGAUAACAUAA
rnacentral:lncRNA from 1 species